AGAGUUUGAUCCUGGCUCAGGAUGAACGCUGGUGGCGUGCUUAACACAUGCAAGUCGAACGAACCUUCGGGUUAGUGGCGGACGGGUGAGUAACGCGUGGGAAUCCGCCCUCAGGAGGGGGAUAACGACUGGAAACGGUCGCUAAUACCCCAUAUGCCGAGAGGUGAAAUGAAUUUCGCCUGAGGAUGAGCCCGCGUCUGAUUAGCUAGUUGGUGAGGUAAAGGCUCACCAAGGCGACGAUCAGUAGCUGGUCUGAGAGGAUGAUCAGCCACACUGGGACUGAGACACGGCCCAGACUCCUACGGGAGGCAGCAGUGGGGAAUUUUCCGCAAUGGGCGAAAGCCUGACGGAGCAACGCCGCGUGAGGGAUGAAGGCCUCUGGGCUGUAAACCUCUUUUCUCAAGGAAGAAGAUCUGACGGUACUUGAGGAAUAAGCCACGGCUAAUUCCGUGCCAGCAGCCGCGGUAAUACGGGAGUGGCAAGCGUUAUCCGGAAUCAUUGGGCGUAAAGCGUCCGCAGGUGGCUUUGUAAGUCUGCUGUUAAAGCGUGGAGCUUAACUCCAUUUCAGCGGUGGAAACUACAAAGCUUGAGUGUGGUAGGGGCAGAGGGAAUUCCCGGUGUAGCGGUGAAAUGCGUAGAUAUCGGGAAGAACACCAGUGGCGAAGGCGCUCUGCUGGGCCAUAACUGACACUCAUGGACGAAAGCCAGGGGAGCGAAAGGGAUUAGAUACCCCUGUAGUCCUGGCCGUAAACGAUGAACACUAGGCGUCGGGGGAAUCGACCCCCUCGGUGUCGUAGCCAACGCGUUAAGUGUUCCGCCUGGGGAGUACGCACGCAAGUGUGAAACUCAAAGGAAUUGACGGGGGCCCGCACAAGCGGUGGAGUAUGUGGUUUAAUUCGAUGCAACGCGAAGAACCUUACCAGGGUUUGACAUCCUGCGAACCUCUGAGAAAUCGGAGGGUGCCUUCGGGAACGCAGUGACAGGUGGUGCAUGGCUGUCGUCAGCUCGUGUCGUGAGAUGUUGGGUUAAGUCCCGCAACGAGCGCAACCCACGUCUUUAGUUGCCAGCAUUCAGUUGGGCACUCUAGAGAGACCGCCGGUGAUAAACCGGAGGAAGGUGUGGAUGACGUCAAGUCAUCAUGCCCCUUACAUCCUGGGCUACACACGUACCACAAUGCUACGGACAAAGGGCAGCGAACUCGCGAGAGCAAGCAAAUCCCAUAAACCGUGGCUCAGUUCAGAUCGUAGGCUGCAACUCGCCUACGUGAAGGAGGAAUCGCUAGUAAUCGCAGGUCAGCAUACUGCGGUGAAUACGUUCCCGGGCCUUGUACACACCGCCCGUCACACCAUGGAAGUUAGCCAAGCCCGAAGUCGUUACUGCAAC
rnacentral:rRNA from 1 species